GUGCCAUCUGCCUGAUUUCGCUAGACUUUAGCCAUCUCCAGAACCCCACCUGAUGUCCUGGGAUCCCACUCUUCAGGAAAGGGACAUUCCUGGAGGCAGAAAUGUAGCGCAGCUCUGAAUGAGGCCCCAAAAGAUGGGAGAUGCAGAAGCCCCUUUGGGAGGAGAGGACACCUGGGCAACCCUUGACCCCCUUUCCCACCCCCACCUCCAGGUUGGGAGCACGUUCCUGCACGUGGCUAUGCUGUGGGGCCUCUCUCAUGAGUCAGAGCGGAGGGAGACAGCUGUGCCUCUGGAGUCUGCUUUUAAUUGUCUGGAAAUGCAGAGAUGUCUGGUUUUUGCCUGAGCAAAAUAGGAGUUUAUUUUUGUACUAUCCCGAGCUGGCUAAGGAGAGUCACGUAGCUGUGGGCGGGGUCUUGGGGAUGAGGAGGGGUACAGCAGGCAGGGACUAUGCUGAAGUGGAGCUGGCUGUAGGAACCCCAGGGAGGCACAGGGGGAGCAUGAAGAGGAGCUACACUUCCCUCCCUUAGUGCCCGGGCAGAAACUCCCAGGGCCCUUCACAGAACCUUGGAGGAACAUUCAACACCCCCAUCUCUAGGACAGCCCCAGCCUUGUCAUCCUCCAAUUGCUGUGGUAACACGGGGACUGGAGCAGUGAGAUUAUUAGGCCUUCAGGGCCAGUGUCUCCAUGCAGAUCAGAUGGAGGCGGUGCUUGGCACAUACACCACCUCACUGCCCAUGCCCCCAGAAGUUGGUGCAGAUCAUAAGGUGGCUUUUGGGGCUAAUUGAUUGAAGUUCCAACAUAGUCUGUUUCUCCUAGGCUGGUAGCUGGCACCUUUGGCCCCAUGUGUUUUUUAAUUAUUUUUUCUUUUGAGACGAAAUCUCGCUCUAUCACCCAGGCUGAAGUGCAGUAGUGCAAUCUCAGCUCACUGCAGCCUCUGCCUCCCGGGUUCAAGCAAUUCUCCUGCCUCAGCCUCCCGAGUAGCCAGGAUUAAAGGUCACCUUGAUGAUUGGAUGAAAGUCUUAGAUCUUCUUUCCAGAGAAAAGUCUACAACAUUCUACUGAACCAGUCCAGAGGGUUCCCGGACCCCCGAAGCCCACCCAUGGGCUGGCUCUGGGAGGCAAUGGCGCUGAGUAUGGGGGCAUCUCUCGCAUGGAUCCCCACAGAUGGUACGGAGGGAUAUCGGGCUGUCGGUGACGCACAGGUUCUCCACCAAGUCCUGGCUGUCGCAGGUCUGCCACGUGUGCCA
rnacentral:lncRNA from 1 species